AUUUACAAGAAAGAUAAGUUAGUAAUGAGUUACCAAUGAGUUGUAAAUCAGUAGUUGGUCUUAAACUCAAUUUAAAUGAUUAACUUUUGCAAAGUUUAAGCACUUUCGAAAAAUUUAGACCAGUUAAAAAGUUCUGAACAUCGGCCAGUUACUGUUUGGCAUAUACAUGAAACUUAUACCGUUUAAUGCCAAAUUUGUCUGAGGGGGCAAAUAUGUAUGGUUAAAAAUUAAAUGUGUACAAACUUUUGUUAUUGUCAGCUCAUCUUCAGCUGACGCAAAUCUCAUUGGCAACUCUAUAAUUUAAGAAGAUUAACAGGACCUGAAAUGUUACACGAUCAUAUACAAAUUAUAAAAUGGAGCCUGACAGGAUUGUCCUGGCUACACUGUAUUCCCCUGAAAUGGGACAAGUCUUCACAACGUAUCGCUCAUAUCAAGACGCGGACGAAGCUGAAUAUUGUCCGAGCGGUGCAAAUCCUGCAGCUCGGUUAUUUUGGAUUGGUCACCUUAAUCGCGUACAACCAGUACAAGUCGGGAUGUUUGAUCACCCUCCUGCCCAACGUUUUCAUGUGGCUGGUCACCAUCACGCUGUACCUUUGGGGAAUGGGGAUCGAUCUAUCUAAUAAGGCAGGGGCGUUGUUAAAUACAACAUUACGGUUUGAGAUAUGGAUGCAAGAUUCGUUUAAGGCGAUGGAUAUUCUGCCGGAUACAAAUUCUGGGAAGUCGAUAACGAACAGAAAUCAACGUAACAUCAUUCUGCUGCGAAUGCUGCCUUUCGUGAACAGGAUGUGCAUCCCGAUGGGAAUAAUAAGAACGAGACGACUUCUUGGAAACCAUUGUGUUCCGCCUUACUUGGGUUAUUUGGUCGGAUAUUGUUCCAGUUGUCAGCAGCACCUAGUUCCAGCAGACGCCCUUGGAUGGAACUUGGUAAAAUACUUGGUCUCCAUUGUGGACGGAUAUCACUGCACGGUGCAACUUUGGAGAGCUUUCUUCAUCUUGUUUAAUUUUCUAUUGUUGGAACUGGAUGUCUGUUGGAUUAUCUGGCCAUACUGAGACGGAUGGGCAACCCCGCCCACUCAACUCGCGUGAAUCUCCCCGCCCGCAUCAAAUUGUACCGGUGCUUGCAAAUUCUUGAGAAACAGUUCAAUCUAACCUUAUCAACCCGCGUGAUCCCGGCAACCAUGGUUGUUUCUCCCUGGCUGCAAAUUUACUGUACUUUUGUUAUGAUAAAACUGGCUAGGUAUCUUCCAUCAUCGGGAUUUAUGACUUAUCCGUUCACCAUUUUCAUUUGUGUCAUGGUAUGCGUGGUCUUCGAAACAUUUGCGGCACAAAUUUUUGUCAACUCGGAACAACAACGGGCAGAGUGGUGGCUAGAUCCGGAACUGACGAAGUUGAACCGAAGCAGGAUACGAUCCCGAAGGCCAAUGAGGAUACAAGUUGGGAGUAAUUUCAUAGACAGAGGGACAGCGUUGGUAACGCAGAAUUUCUGCAUUACUCAGACAGUCAGCCUGCUUCUAAUGUAAAUAAUAAGUUCAUCUUUGUUUAGGAAUAAAUUAAUUUUCC